rnacentral:rRNA from 1 species
AAUUUUUGACCAGGUGGGCAACCCUGAUCCAGCCAUCCCGCGUUUGCGAUGAAGGNCUNNGGGUUNUNAAGCACUUUUGGCAGNNNNNAAAAGGCUCUGGCUAAUACCUGGAUAUGCUUAUGGUACCUGCAGAAUAAGCACCGGCUAACUACGUUCCCGCAGCCGCGGUAAUACGUAGGGUGCAAGCGUUAAUCGGAAUUACUGGGCGUAAAGCGUGCGCAGGCGGUUCGGCAAGAAGGAUGUGAAAUCCCAGGGCUUAACCUUGGAACUGCAUUCUUAACUGCCGGGCUAGAGGAUGACAGAGGGGGGUAGAAUUCCGCGUGUAGCAGUGAAAUGCGUAGAGAUGCGGAGGAAUACCGAUGGCGAAGGCAGCCCCCUGGGAUAAUACUGACGCUCAUGCACGAAAGCGUGGGGAGCAAAC